ACUUAAAAAAAAAUGUGUUGAGAUUAGGUAUCGUUAGGUUUUCAAAUCAAAAAUACUUAAUAAAACACAAAAAUGACUAAAUAAAAGGACGUCGAUGAAGAGGAAGACCAAGGCGGAACUAGUAAAAGUGGAAGUUGUGUUGUAUCAGAACGACGGAACUCGCUGUGAAUGCACAUUAAAAGUCCUCAACCAACAAGACUCCUCUUCGUCGUUCCCACACUGCUGAGGAUCGCGACCACAGGUUAUGGUUUCCCACUUGGUACGGCUAUAUGCUGCGUGCACCGCCCUCUGUAUGCUGCCGCCCACCGUCUUCUUCACGAUGUCAGACCACCUCGUAGGCGCCCUUCCUCGUGCACGUUUGCCAUCCAUUUGCCCAACGAUGAUCUGCUUCUCCAGACUGUGCUUCGGAGACCGGAUAAUAUGUCCGAAGAAGCUUAGGGCACGAUUCCGGCAUAUUGGGGAGACUCAUUCGUACACGUAAAUAGCCUUAAAUUACCAAGUAGAGAAAGUCCAGCAUGAGGUGAGCACGAAGUUUUGAAGACAGGAGUGAUUGUAUUAGAUUUCCUCCUGAGCAGUUGCACUACAAAUUUAGUGAUGAAGAGGCAAUACUUGACAGAAACCUUAAGUGGGAUGACAUAAUUAUAAAGAAAAUCAAUAAGAGGAUGAACUCUUUUAAUGUUUAUAAAACAAUAGUAUGGAAGAAUUUUGAUGCAUCGUGGAGCAAUGGCAACAUAUUUGGGAGUUGUGAGUGACAACGAGCAGAUUACAUAACAAUGGGAGGAUAACAAGGGCCUUAACUGAAAAAACUGGUGAAUGUUCCCAAAUAAACCUCACAGAUGUAGAAGAAAGACAAAAUAAAUUUGUUUAUUUAUUUUAUUUCUGUUCCCUACUAAACUAGUAAUAAAACAUACUUGUUACAAAUA